AUGAAACAAGCGUCCGAGAUGGGUUUGACUCUUCGUGCCUUCUUAGGCCUUGAGGAUGCGCCAGUAUGUGAGAUAGCAUUACAAUAUGUGCGGAAUGGGCCUCUCGUCGAGCCUGCGCGGGAAAAGAGUCUACCACCACAAAUGCGAAAUCUGCUACGUUGGUACAAGCAAUUCAUAACAUGGGCCGACAAAGAAUAUAUUUAUGCGGAUGUUACAGAUGAGCAUCACACCAAACGGUACUCUGUAGAAGUUCAUAUGAGUGAAUUGUUCCAGCUGUUCAAUCUGCGCGACCUCGACAAAUCUAUGCUGAGUUGCUACGUUCUAUUGAAGAUUUGGGAAUGCAAAAUAAGAAACAUCCAUGAUGUUGGGUUCAUUGACCCACAUAUCGUUAAUGGACAUGUGUUACAACAUCACCCCGAAGACGUGGAGAAAGACUUGUACAAGUUUCUUAGAAAGCAUCAACUCAAAAGUCAUAUUCUAUUUCCCUACCAUUUUGGGUUCCACUGGAUUCUGCUAAAUAUUGAACUUCACACCUCCAGAGUUCUAAUCAUGGACUCUAUGGAUUCGGAUCCAAAGCGUUGGGCCGACAUGAGAAAAAUGCUGCAAAAGGGUUUGGAGACGGUUCUCAGAAGAAAUUGUCGGUGA
rnacentral:rRNA from 1 species